GGACCUGACUGCUAUCGGAUUGAUACUAAGCCAUGCGAGUCAUUGUAGCAAUACAAGGCAUACGGCUCAGUAACGCGUAGUCAACCUAACCUAUGGACGGGAAUAACCUCGGGAAACUGAGAAUAAUGCCCGAUAGAACAUUAUGCCUGGAAUGGUUUAUGUUCCAAAUGAUUUAUCGCCGUAGGAUGGGACUGCGGCCUAUCAGUUUGUUGGUGAGGUAAUGGCCCACCAAGACUAUUACAGGUACGGGCUCUGAGAGGAGUAGCCCGGAGAUGGGUACUGAGACACGGACCCAGGCCCUAUGGGGCGCAGCAGGCGAGAAAACUUUGCAAUGUGCGAAAGCACGACAAGGUUAAUCCGAGUGGUUUCUGCUAAAGAAACCUUUUGUCAGUCCUAGAAACACUGAUGAAUAAGGGGUGGGCGAAGUUCUGGUGU
rnacentral:rRNA from 1 species